GGACUACACGGGUAUCUAAUCCUGUUUGCUCCCCACGCUUUCGCGCAUCAGCGUCAGAACCGGUCCAGGUGGCCGCCUUCGCCACUGGUGUUCCUCCCAAUAUCUACGCAUUUCACCGCUACACUGGGAAUUCCGCCACCCCCUCCCGGCCUCAAGCCUGACAGUUUCAAAGGCAAUUCCUCAGUUGAGCCGAGGGAUUUCACCUUUGACUUAUCAGGCCGCCUACGCGCCCUUUACGCCCAAUAAUUCCGAAUAACGCUCGCCCCCUCCGUAUUACCGCGGCUGCUGGCAC
rnacentral:rRNA from 1 species